ensembl:lncRNA
UAGGAAUUGAGAAGCACCCCUUGACAACAAAAAAAUGGCUUGUGACAGGCGUUGCAUGCGCAAUGAACGGUUUGCGGUUGAUUCCAGUACAGUAUAAAAUUAGUCCGCAUCAUUCCCUGACAUCUUCCUUCAAUAGAGGGCUGAAAUCUCAGUUCCCUGCUAUCAUCAGAUUUGGACGGAGGAGCCUCUAUCUGAGCCAGGCUACUGUGGAAAGAGGAUUGUUGACCCUCCCUACCCACCCUGCUCAUUCCCUGAGGACCCACCGUGUUGCUGGUUGGGUGUCGCUCCCCGCUCUGCCUGGUGGUGGCCCUCGGGAGCUUUGAGCGCAUAGAGAGUGCAAUAGUGCAGCAGCCAUGACGAACGCAGUGAUGGGCGGUAGCUCGGACCGCUGGGUGCCCAACGAUAGGCAGAUGAGCAUGCAUGCCAA